rnacentral:tRNA from 1 species
GGUGGUGUGGCUCAGUGGAAAGAGCACGGGCUUGGGAGUCAGAGGUCAUGGGUUUGAAUCCCAGCUAUCCCA